rnacentral:rRNA from 1 species
UACGGAGGGGGCGAGCGUUAUUCGGAAUUAUUGGGCGUAAAGGGCGCGUAGGCGGCCUUGUAAGUCAAAGGUGAAAUCCCUCGGCUCAACUGAGGAACUGCCUUUGAAACUGCAAGGCUUGAGGCCGGGGGGGGGUAGCGGAACUGCGAGUGUAGAGGUGAAAUUCGUAGAUAUUCGCAAGAACACCAGUGGCGAAGGCGGCUCACUGGCCCGGUACUGACGCUGAGGCACGAAAGCGUGGGGAGCAAACAGG